AUUGAACGCUGGCGGCAUGCUUUACACAUGCAAGUCGAACGGUAACAGGUCUUCGGAUGCUGACGAGUGGCGAACGGGUGAGUAAUACAUCGGAACGUGCCUAGUAGUGGGGGAUAACUACUCGAAAGAGUAGCUAAUACCGCAUGAGAUCUACGGAUGAAAGCAGGGGACCUUCGGGCCUUGUGCUACUAGAGCGGCUGAUGGCAGAUUAGGUAGUUGGUGGGGUAAAGGCUUACCAAGCCUGCGAUCUGUAGCUGGUCUGAGAGGACGACCAGCCACACUGGGACUGAGACACGGCCCAGACUCCGACGGGAGGCAGCAGUGGGGAAUUUUGGGCAAUGGGCGAAAGCCUGAUCCAGCAGUGCCGCGUGCAGGAUGAAGGCCCUCUGGUUGUAAACUGCUUUUGUACGGAACGAAAAGCCUGGGGCUAAUAUCCCCGGGUCAUGACGGUACCGUAAGAAUAAGCACCGGCUAACUACGUGCCAGCCGCCGCCGUAA
rnacentral:rRNA from 1 species